rnacentral:rRNA from 1 species
CGCCGCGUGAGGGAUGAAGGCCUUCGGGUUGUAAACCUCUUUCGGCAGGGACGAUGAUGACGGUACCGGAAGAACAAGCCCCGGCUAACUUCGUGCCAUCAGCCGCGGUAAUACGAAGGGGGCGAGCGUUGUUCGGAAUUACUGGGCGUAAAGAGCGCGUAGGCGGUGCGGUAAGUCCGGUGUGAAAUCCCCGGGCUCAACUCGGGGGGUGCCCUGGAUACUGGACGGCUUGAGAUUCGGGAGAGGGGGGUGGAAUUCCCGGUGUAGUGGUGAAAUUCGUAGAUCUUAGGAAGAACACCAGUGGCGAAGGCAGCG